rnacentral:rRNA from 1 species
CCUACGGGUGACUGCAGUCGAGAAUCUUUCACAAUGGGGGAAACCCUGAUGCUGCGACGCCGCGUGGGGGAAUGAAGGUCUCCGGAUUUAAAACCCUUGUCAUGUGGGAGCAAAUUAAACAGUUAGUACCACAAGAGCACGAGCCAGCUAAAUCUGGGCCAGCAGCCGCGGUAAUACAGAGGGCGCAAGCGUUGUUCGGAAUCACUGGGCGUAAGGCGUGCGUAGGCGGUUUCGCAAGUCGGGUGUGAAAGGCGCGGGCUUAACCCGCGGACUGCACAUGAAACUGCGUGACUAGAGGGAUGGAGAGGGAAGCGGAAGUCUUGGUGUAGCAGUGAAAUGCGUAGAUAUCGAGAGGAACACUCGUGGCGAAGGCGGGUUCCUGGACAUUAACUGACGCUGAGGCACGAAGGCGAGGGGAGCGAAAAGGAUUAGAUACCCUAGUAGUC